rnacentral:rRNA from 1 species
UACGUAGGGGCAAGCGUUGGUCCGGAUUUAUUGGGCGUAAAGAGCUCGUAGGCGGCUUGUUGCGUCGACCGUGAAACCCGGGGCUCACUUCGGGCUUGCGGUCGAUACGGGCGGGCUAGAGUUCGGUAGGGGAGACUGGAAUUCCUGGUGUAGCGGUGAAAUGCGCAGAUAUCAGGAGGAACACCGGUGGCGAAGGCGGGUCUCUGGGCCGAUACUGACGCUGAGGAGUGAAAGCGUGGGGAGCGAACAGG